rnacentral:lncRNA from 1 species
UGCCAUGGGACUCUUUCUGCUGUGUAGACGGACCCACGGUCACUUCAUGUAGGGAGACAGAGCAUUGCAAGCCCUUCCCUGGACUGAUGGAUCCCCUCCACCCCACCCUGCCUCCCCUGACUCGUCCACUUCUGUUGUUCCCUCUGGACAUGGCAGGGCCAUUUGAAAGGUUAGCUGCCCAACUGCCCUUUUAUUGCAUUGGACUUGUUCUGACAGUUGUUCCUGAGUCCCAAGAGGAACCCGCCACGCCUGCCGUCAGUGUGAGGGGAGUCCUGCGGGUCAAACCCUGCCCAGGGCUCCGAGGACAUAGGGUUUCGAUGACAGGCUGACGUCUGCACUGCUNGCAGAGUCCUGAAAGGACAAACCAAGGAGUCCUUUGCUGCUGCUCUGCGUCCAUCCCAGCUCUUCGUCCUGGGGCAGGGAGAACAGCUGGCUUUCCUCAGGCCGUAGCGCGGCUCCCUUCGGUCCUGGAGUGUCUGCUAGGAGUGCAGGGUGAGAGUGUUUUGGUUACGCUAGCUGAGGGGGCGUCUGGCUACCCAUCGCCGCAGAGCUUUCGGUGCUGAUUCUGCAAGCUGGAGAUGCUGGAACUGGCAUGGAGUGGGGGGGGGAACAGAACAGAGAAGGCAGAGGGCCACGUGGGGCACAGGUAGAGCGUAGCCCUGGUCUCUGGAGGCAGCUUGUCUAAAACUCAGGCUGGCAGAAAACAUCUUCAAGUGAAGGUGGCCUCCGGAAAUGCCUUUAAAAGCCAAAUCUCACUGCAGAGCUUGAUCAGCUGGGGACAGAUGCCUAGAGAGAAUGAGGCCUCAUCCAAACCAUUUCCUCUGCCAAUCUAGAUGUUCAGCACAAGGCUGCUGGCGUACGCUCCAGUGCUCUGACGGGUAAUCGGCUCGGGGUUAUCUGCAGUGUUCGGCCCUGAGAGCGCAUAAAAUCAACUCCGUGAGCUUGGGUGGCCUUGCCCCUGUCUUCUCUGGGAAGUGACUGACCCGAAGGGCUAGGGCUUCAGAAUGGCGUGAGUGCAUUUUUGUACACACGCACACACACACACACACGCAUGCACAGUGAUAACUAUGCACAUAUACCUUGUGUACAGAAUUGCACACACGUGUUUCUGAAUCUGGCUGCAAAGGUUUUGUUUACCUUUACGAUUACUUGAACUAACAAUGUUUCUGCUCUUACGUUCCCCCACCCCCUGCCCCGCUGCCCUCUCCUCCACAUACGUGGGGUGAGGGAGUAUUUAUUGUAAUCGUUUUAUUUUGUGAUGGUUUAAAGCUAGUUUUCUGGCAGGGGCCAAUCACAUUGGUACACCUCCCCAUGUUUUUUGCCCUCUGGGUCAGACUGUCAAACAGCUUUAUUUAGACUUUACCACAGGUGGCUGGCUACCUUGGUCACGUGCCCCCCGCCCCCCAGUUACUGUUGUGGGGGGCAAGGGGGUGUUGCUGCAUGUGUUGAUGUUGCCACAUGCUCGUACUUUCACAACCUGUAUCCAGCACGCCUGGACUGUCACAAAUCAAUAUCCCUUUGAAACAAGAGCUUGUUGCAGGAUAAAGGUGGGCUACUGAUUUUCAAAAUGUGGUAGCCAGCUGGGGGAGCCGGGGGUGAAGGAGCCUGGGGAUUGAUAAUGUAAUAUAAAGUAUUGGGGGAGAAAUGGACAAAACCCCAGGCAAAAUGGCAACUGUAAUUGGAACUAGGAUAUAAGCUCUUGUGCGAUGUACUUGUGAAUGUGUGUACAUGUCCGUUAGACUAUCCAAAGCUCUGCUGAGAAAUCAAUGUAGGAUUAUAUUUGAAAGAGAAAUCUAUAUAUUUUUUAAAUACAGAACUUAAAAGCUGUAACCACUUUUUGUUCCCAGGGGCCUGUAAUCUUUGUCUGUUGGUGGAUGUAAUAAAUGUCAUUGGGGCUCUGCCGUGGCUGUUUCC